GGUAAUAUACUAAUAUAUAUGAAUAUUCUAGAGAUUAUUUUAGGUUAUUUUUAUAAUGGCACAGGUCUACUUAACGCAACGCAAAACGUCACAACUAUUACUCCUUUAUCUCAAAUAAAUAACACGAUCUUCUAUUUUUCAAAUAAAUAAUAUUUAGGAUGAGCUAUUAGUUAGCACCAUAUUUUCAAAAGCAGACGGGUUAUAAAUUUUAUUGUCACCACAUAACAAGAGAUAUCUCUUCUCUACUC
rnacentral:lncRNA from 1 species